rnacentral:lncRNA from 1 species
ACAUGAUUCCAUAGCGGUAAGAAACUUGAACUAUUUAAUUAACCAUAACAAUAAUAUGAAUGUAAGCAACUUUUUAUUCAAGUGCAAAGGCAGCAUCUUGAAUUGAAACUACAGCAUAGGGAUGUCACAUCCCCUGUUCGGACCAUAAAGCAUCAUCCAACACAAAAUGCUAUAUCAAAAUUGAAACUUUUUCUUGCAUUAUAUAAUUUACACAAACAUUGGUAAUCAUGCUAUUCUGUUAUUUCUUCUUCUUUUUCUUUUAAUCAAGGGCUGAAGUAUUCAACCAGCAUGGAAAUAGAAUCCUCAGAGCAAAGCACUACAGGAGAUUUUAUUUUGGCUCGCGUAACUCUGUUAAAAAAAGCUCGAGCUAACUCAGUUGAGCUCUUCUUUUCGGACUCAUCAGCAGUCGAGGUUGAACCCGUAGAGAAAAGGGUUUGACAAGCUCAUUGCUCCAUAUAUCCACAAGCGCAGACAUAGCUAACUCAAAAGCAGACAACAAAAAGAAAGGUAAAGCAAUUGAAAGAUUUUAAAUUUUUCUGAUAUUUUGGGUUGUGUAGGGGUAUAUAUAUAUGGAAGUUAACGGGUGGGUUUUCCGGCGGCACACAUUGCUUGUGUUACUGGUUCUGUGUAUGAGCUUUGAGAUAAGAGACAAGCAGACGUUCAGGUCGGUUAAGGUUAUCUUCAUUUCUUGGGGUCUUUACAAUGACUUCAAAACCGCUGCCUACUUUUCCUUGCAUUAUAAUCCAAGCAUAUAUAUAUAUAUAAAGUGUUUAAAUGCAAGAAAAAGUUCCCAAAUCAUCACUAAGAAAAUACUAAAUAUGGCUGCCUAGCUUGUCUGGCCCUGCUUUGCUUCAAAAUUUGUAAGAACAUGUCAGCAAGUGCAAAGAUAUUAUGUUAAUUAAAUGUUCAUGUCAUAGUCGGAAUC